GGAGUGGGGUCUCUGCCCAAUAUGGAUCCAGCUGGUGGGAUCUCAGCCGUGCCUUUUGCUCUGGAAUUCAAACCUUGUGACAGAUCCUUCAUCUGACUGUCAGCUGUCAGAUACAGACGAGGAACACAAUGUUCCUGAUUCAAAACAACUUCUGAGCUUCUCCAAACAGAAAGUUUCCAGCACCUUUUGUACGGCGGACAUUGCAGUUUUCCAUCCUGCCCUGGGCAACGCCCGGCUCUCCUGUCGGAAUGACGCCCGGGAUGGAGCCAGAGCUGCCAGCACCAAGCCAUGGCCAAGCCUUCACCCCAAUUUCGGUGUUUGAGCUGCUAAAUCUCAGUGCUGGAGAGAACCCCAUGAGAAGAGACACCCUCCAAAGAGGGAAGCCUACAAGCAUCCAAAGUUUGUGGUUUUACUGUCCUCAGAACGGCUUCAGGAGGGAUCAGAUCAGAGCUGUGAUCUUUGCACAGUGCUUGGACCAGCUUCUGUCAUGUAAUGGGGUAAGAGCCAUUAA